rnacentral:lncRNA from 1 species
GCAGAUUUUAAAAUUUGCACAAGCAGAUCAAGUCUGGUCACAUUUAAAUUAAUAGCACAGAAUGGGAAUAAUUGUGAAAAAAGCUCCCUCCAGAGGCAAGAAAGCAUAAUCAUCUUUUACAUUUAUAACAGCAGUGUGGUUACAAAAUCACACAAUCCCAUGUACCAUGAAACGUUUAUUUUCUAUAACCAAUGAAAUCUUCUGCAUCACCCCAAUACAACACUUGGUUGGGACUUUGAAUUGCCAAUUGACAAAAAUCUCCACCUCUUUUGGUUUAAAUGCUGUUCUGGGCAAAACAACUUGAGGUCUAUUCUCCAGACUCCGGAUAGCCUCCUCUGGUCCUUGAUUCUGGGUUGUGGAAAGGUGGGCAACCUCCUGGAGAAUGAGAGAGAGAUUCUUACCCUGCUCUUUUAGGGUCUCUGGCCCCUCUGGUUUUCCUUCUCUGUCUUUCUGAUCAUUGGGCAUCCUACUGGCUUCUCAUGCAUACCGCAGAUCUCUCUACAUCUCAUUCAUGGUCUGCAUAAGUUUCUGAUUCAAGCUAAGUUAUUUCUGUGUGACACUGGGUAGGAUCUUAGGAAACCUUGCAGGUCGCCUGGCGCCCUUUGCCUGGUUAUGAUACAUAACCAUGCUGGCAUUUCUACCAUGGCAGAGGCGGAACGAAAACAGAUGUAAAUCACGAAGCCCUUGAAUCCUUCAAGUUCAAGUUCUUUGCUUUACCUCUGAUUUCCCCGCUCGUCCCUGGCUCAAAAUAUUUUUACUGUGUUACGGCUAGGGAUUUAACUCAGUGGCACCACACCUGCCUUGCAAGCUCAAGGUCCUGAGUUUGAUCCCAGGUACCAAAAAAAAAAAAAAAAACAUUUGGUCGGGGAUUUAGCUCAGUGGUUCUGGCGCCUGCCUCGCAAGUGCAAGGCAGGCAUGGUGCCACUGAGCUAAAUCCCUGGCUCUCUCAAUUAUUAUUUAUAAAAUUUAUAGAUCGGCAGUUUUAGGCUUCUAGUUUUUCAUUUUGAAAAUUUUCCUCUCAACUAUUUUCUCUGUCACAAGUUUAAAAUAACAAUUUUUAGGGUCCGGGGAUUUAGCUCAGUGGUUUCACCACCUGCUGCACAAGCACAAGGACCCAAGUUCAAUCCCCAGUACCAAAAACAUUUAUAAAAAUAACAAUUUUUAAAUUAUUAUCAAACAUCAAAUAAUUAUUAUAAAACAUUCAAAGAUACCACUA